UACGGGGGGGGGCAAGCGUUGUUCGGAAUUACUGGGCGUAAAGGGCUCGUAGGUGGCCAACUAAGUCAGACGUGAAAUCCCUCGGCUUAACCGGGGGAACUGCGUCUGAUACUGGAUGGCUUUGAGUUCGGGAGAGGGAUGCGGAAUUCCAGGUGUAGCGGUGAAAUGCGCAGAUAUCAGGAGGAACACCGGUGGCGAAGGCGGGGUCUCUGGGCCG
rnacentral:rRNA from 1 species